AAUAGAGUGCCUGAUUAAAAAGGAUUAUUUUGAUAGAAUAAAUUAUGUGAAUUUCACCUUUAUUA
rnacentral:tRNA from 1 species